AAUAAAAAAAAAAAAAAAAAAAUGCAUGGAGAGUGUGAAUAUGGUUAGGCUUCAGCCUAUGCCUAUGCGGUCCAGCAUAUCAUAUGCCAACCAUUUCAAGGUUGCAAGUUUUAAGGGAAAGGUUUUAUAUAGACAAGGAUUUGACUGCCUGUUUUUGCUCUUGCAUUAUUGGACUUAAAGGACUUUUCAUUUUUGAAGGCAUUAUUGGACUAGAGAUUUUUCUUUCACGCCUACCCACUUCACUUGGUGUUAAAAAAUGCCCAAUCGAUCAAUUCAUUCCACGCAAAUAUACCCGCUCCGACAACUUCAAAGGUUUUUUUUUCAUAACAGUGUAAAGGAAACAAAUUUACUUGAUUAUGAGGAAAACGCCUCUGUGACUAUCAAAGAUUCAGACUAUACAUGAAAGAUUGAUGACAUAUGAUUUGGUUAUUUAGAAAAAAAAAAAAUGGAUUUAAAACCCUCUACUCUCUUGAAUAAAAAAAAAAAUCACUCUAUACAAUACAUCAUUGAAACUCCCAUUUCAAGGAAUCUCAUUAAUUUACUUUUUACGCUAACACCCACAAAAUGUAAAAAAGAAAAAGGAAAAAAAAAAAGAGAAUAAUAUCUUAGGAUUAACUUGAUGACACAGGCAAAGACUUGAUUCCAAUUCUUGGUUGAAAUGUAGAAAUGAUCGGACCUAAAUUCUGAGAGUCAUUCACCUCGUCAUACCAAUGACCCCUUUAUCGCCCUGCCUCGGCUUUGCUGCACAUUAGCUCCUUUCGCGCACCUCUCUCUCUCUCUCUCUCUCUCUCUCCCUCCCUCCCUCUGCGUGACCAGGAAGAAUUCAAUUGAUUCACUCACGGUUACAAGCCACGAUGGCGUUAUCCUCCGCCCACAGAUCUUCAAGCACCCAAUGCACCAUUCCAAAGCGAUAUCUUGAUAUUGCUAGCCCUCUCGUACACGGUACUGGGAGGUUGUCAUGGCCUUCGCCCUUUGGGGGAGGGAUAGCGCUUAAACCACCACGCAGAGGCUUUGGAGCGGUGCCCUCGACAUGAGAGGUAUGGCCAGCUCCAUGGGUUGGGGUGCCCUUCUCUCACCGGUUUCUCUGAAAUCCUCGACUUUGCCGCUGUCUUCAACUGGGUCUCUCUUUAUCUGUCCGCUAAUCGAAUUUUGUUGAAUACCAUUAUGGCGCAUGCAGCCAAUGUUCUCAGAACACUUUGAAACACGGAGAAUAAUUUGGCUCAUCAAUGGAUUGGGUGGCAUGGAUUGUGGUGCAGCGUUGGACAGUUUGGAUGGAUGGGAAUGGCAGCGAUGUGGAUGUGGAUGUGGUUAUGGUUAUGGGAGAGGAAAGUUGACCUGUGCUUUAGGUUAGUGAGGUACUUGACUCAAUGCUUACUUGCUUUGAUGUGAAAAUGUGUAUCGCCGUUAGUUUGUUUUUCUGAAUAAAGAACGCCCUUUAUAUGUACUCUGAAGAAGUGACAGUAUUGAAACUGAUCAAGAGCAAGAUGUGCUGCGAUAUCCAAAGUUAGGAGCAGCCAGCAUGUCAAAAAGAGAGCUAGUUCUUAUAUUUAGGAUUGGGGAACCCUGUCACCUUAACUCUGUUUGGGAGAUACCAAAAUUCAACCUUACGAAUGAUAAAAAACCAAAGCGUUUGUUAUGGACACCUGGAAUGUUAUCACAUGCGUCAAACGAUUGGAGAACAAGCAAGCAGUUUAGUGCAGGCCGCAAGGGAACCUGUCUGAUUGCCACUGUAAGCCAUUUUGGAAAGGAGGAUCUCUCGUUCUUGUUUAUGAUGCUCAGAUGGUGUUGGCUCAAUGAAAGCGGCGAUAGGACUAAGGUAUUAACCCGUAACGAUUAUUUCUUAAAUUUCGAAUUUCAAGUGAAAUCUGAAAACGGAAAGUGAUCAUUGAGUUGCU